rnacentral:rRNA from 1 species
CCUACGGGAGACAGCAGUGGGGAAUAUUGCACCAUGGGGGAAACCCUGAUGCAGCGACGCCGCGUGAGUGAAGAAGUAAUUCGUUAUGUAAAGCUCUUUCAGCAGGGAAGAAAAUGACGGUACCUGAGUAAUAAGCCCCGGCUAACUACGUGCCAGCAGCCGCGGUAAUACGUAGGGGGCAAGCGUUAUCCGGAUUUACUGGGUGUAAAGGGAGCGUAGACGGCAGUGCAAGACUGGAGUGAAAGGCGGGGGCUCAACCCCAGAACUGCUCUAGAAACUGUAAGGCUGGAGUGCAGGAGAGGGAGGUGGAAUUCCUGGUGUAGCGGUGAAAGGCGUAGAUAUUAGGAGGAACACCAGUGGCGAAGGCGGCUUACUGGACUGUAACUGACGUUGAGGCUCGAAAGCGUGGGGAGCAAACAGGAUUAGAUACCCGUGUAGUC